GACGAACGCUGGCGGCGUGCUUAACACAUGCAAGUCGAACGGAAAGGCCCUGCUUGCAGGGUGCUCGAGUGGCGAACGGGUGAGUAACACGUGGGUGAUCUGCCCUGCACUUCGUGAUAAGCCUUGGAAACUGUGUCUAAUACCGGAUAGGAGCCAUUUUUAGUGUGAUGGUUGGAAAGUUUUUUCGGUGUAGGAUGAGCUCGCGGCCUAUCAGCUUGUUGGUGGGGUAAUGGCCUACCAAGGCGGCGACGGGUAGCCGGCCUGAGAGGGUGGACGGCCAAAUUGGGACUGGGAUAAGGCCCAGAAUCCCACGGGAGGGAGCAGUGGGGAAUAUUGCAAAAUGGGCGCAAGCCUGAUGCAGCGAAGCCGCGUGGGGGAUGACGGCCUUCGGGUUGUAAAAUCCUUUCGCUAGGGACGAAGCUUUUUGUGACGGUACCUAGAUAAGAAGCACCGGCUAACUACGUG
rnacentral:rRNA from 1 species